CCUACGGGGGGCAGCAGUCGAGAAUUUUUCACAAUGGGGGAAACCCUGAUGGUGCGACGCCGCGUGGGGGAAUGCAGGUCUUCGGAUUGUAAACCUCUGUCAUGUGGGAGCAAAUUAAAAAGAUAGUACUACAAGAGGAAGAGACGGCUAACUCUGUGCCAGCAGCCGCGGUAAUACAGAGGUCUCAAGCGUUGUUCGGAAUCACUGGGCGUAAAGCGUGCGUAGGCUGUUUCGUAAGUCGUGUGUGAAAGGCGGGGGCUCAACCCGCGGAUGGCAGAUGAUACUGCGAGACAAGAGUAAUGGAGGGGGAAGCGGAAUUCUCGGUGUAGCAGUGAAAUGCGUAGAUAUCGAGAGGAACACUCGUGGCGAAGGCGGGUUCCUGGACAUUAACUGACGCUGAGGCACGAAGGCCAGGGGAGCGAAAGGGAUUAGAUACCCCAGUAGUC
rnacentral:rRNA from 1 species